rnacentral:lncRNA from 1 species
UUUUAAGCAACAUAUUUUCCAAACUGUUUUUUCUUUUUUUAAUGUAAGCCUAAUUUUUUUUAUUUUUUUUUUCUUCAGGGUCUGAACAAGGGACACACAGAGCAGCCAAAGACAUCAGCAACAUCUGCCAGCCACCUCUGGAAGACAGGAGCAUCGCUGAGGGCUGGACGGAGGCUCCUCCAUCAGCGGAGCCCUCAGCCGCAGACAAGAUUUCGUUUGACAGACCUUGGAUCCUGCUUCUCCUCUUCCAAAAACCAUUUGCACCUUCCUAGCUCAGGUAAGCACCUUCUUGUUUUCUGCACUCCUGUUUCCUGCGCAGUUGCUCCGAUUUGUGCUGAGCAUCAUGCAUCACUAAGCAGAUAAGAAGCCUCUUUUGAGAGGAUCUGGGAACAUGUGGUUGUAGGGACUAAAGGACAUUCUCUGUUUUGAGGU